AUAAGACACUAUUCUAAGCACUGGGGUCCCAUAAGAAUAAGACAAAGCCCCUAUCCUCAAGAGGCUAUCAUCAAACUAUAGACAGAGAUGGGAUCUCCCUCUGUCAUCCAGGCUGGUCUCCAACUCCUGGCCUCCAGUGAUCCUCCUGCUUCAGCCUCCUGAGUAGCUGUGAUUACAGGUACAAGCCAUGGCACCUGGCGAGAUGACAUUUUGCUGGAGGAAAGGGAGAUCUUCUAAGAGCAAAGAGCUUUCCAGGAGCUGGGACCAGGACUAUCACAGAUUGCCCUAUGUCGUCCAUGCUGGUCUGGAACUCCUGGGCUCAAGAGAUCCUCUCACCUUGGCCUCCCAAAGUGCUGAGAUUACAGAGCUAGAGUCUCAUGAUGUCGUCCAGGCUGGUAUCGAACUCGGCUUCAAGCAGUCCUCUCACCUCAGCCUCUCGAGUAGCUGGAAUUACAGUUGAGAGCCACUGCAUCCAGCUUUGCUCUUUCUUUGAAAGGAGGCAAAAGAAUGGACGGGCACGGAGAUCCUAGAGGCGAAGCAAGUUGUCAGCGCCCCUGCCCAGGCCCCGCCCUGCCCGGCCCAGUCCCGACCCCGCCCUGCCCCGCCCCAGCAGCUCCACCCUCACCGGCUCUCCUCGCCCUCCAGCAGCUUGCGGUAGGUGGCGAUCUCGAUGUCCAGGGCCAUCUUGACGUUGAGGAGCUCCUGGUACUCCCUCAGGUGCCGCGCCAUCUCCUCUUUUAGCUGUCGCAGCUCCUCCUCGAGCCGCGCAGCGCCCGCCUGGUAGCCCCCCGCCUCCAGGGCGAACUGCUCCUCCAGCUCUCUCAACUGCCUGAGCAGCGCCUCGUUCUGGGGUAGGAGAGUGGAAGGGGCCAGUUGCAGAACAUUUCAUCGUCCGCUCCCCGGGCCCGAGCGCGCAGCUUCGUACUCACCGUGCCGCGCAGCCCGUCCACCUCGCACGUUAGACUCUGGAUCUGGCGUCGGGACUCGUUCAUCUCCUGCUUGGCCUGGCGCAGGGCCUCGUGGUUCCGGUUGGCAGCGUCGGACAGGUCCGCGUACUGAGAAGUGGGGGUAACCCAGGCUUUAGUCGGCUGGGACGCGCGACACCACCCCAGCGUCCCGCCUCGCAGGCCCUCCCGGCUCUUGCACCUUGGACUUGUACCACUCCUCCGCCUCCUGCAGGUUCUUCGCGGCGAUGCUCUCGUACUGCGCGCGGAUGUCCCUCAGCGCUGCCGUCAGCUCGGGCUUCACCGUGGCUUCCACCUCCACCUGCUGCACCUGCUGGCUCUCCACACUCACCUGCAGGUCUCGCAGCUCCUACGGCCGGGAGCAGGCAGAGGAUGGACAGCGGCGCAAAUUCCACGCGGGCCACGCAGUUCGUGCACAGAAAAGAGAAGAAACGCUUGAACGAACAGAAGUGGGCGCCAGGGAGGGCAGGGCGUACAGCCCUGCGCCCCCGCGGGCGCGAGACCAGAGGCCAGGUUUCGGAGCUCCAGCGAGACCACCCCACAACCUCAGAAACCGCCCCUGAUACCGGGCCCACUUACCUCCUCGUGCAGCUUCUUGAGGAACUCAAUCUCAUCCAUCAGAGACUCAAUCUUGCGCUCUAGUUCCAGGCGGGACAGAGUGGCAUCGUCCACGUCCUUCGAGGGGUGGCAGUGGAGGUUCAAGAUAAGUUAGGGGCUGCGCAGACCAAGGAAGGACCAGGCCUUCCCUGUCUGCCUCAGGAGGCAUCUGGGUUACCCCCUUCUCCCCGCGCCCACCGAUGCCACCUCUGGAUACUGAGAUCGGGGGUAGCGGUGGGGAGGCUGAACUCGGAGAGGGGCUCGGACUCACCUUGCGGAAGAGCACGAGGUUGUGCUCCGCGUCCUCCCGCUUGCGCGUCUCCUCCUCCAACCUGACGGGAAGAGCGUGCAGAGGCUGAACUGCGGGGUCGCCGCCCAGCUCGCACCCCAGACCGCACGCCCCCCAGGAUCCGGUUAGAGGCUGUUCUGCUGCCCAGGACUCUAAAUGGAGGGCUGAGGCUGUCUAAUGGAAUUGCCCCGCAUUGUCUCUAACGGACUGGGAGCUGAAAAGGGGGUUUCCUCAUUACUCAGGGGAGGCACAGAUACCCACUUCUCCCACCUCCCCAAACACUCAGAGCAAAGGGGUAGCGGGGGGCACUUGGAGCCCGUGGGCAGGGAUGCUGCCCGCACACACCUGGGUUGGUAAGGGGAGCCACACCCUUGGGCUGCUGAUGGAGAGGGGAAGCGAGGGGAGGCAAGAGCAGCCGCCUCGACGGCCGCUUCGACCUCGCCUCGACGGCAGCGGCCCAGCCCUGCCCCCUGACCUCUGCUUGAGCGCCGCCAGGUCCUCCGCCAGCCCGUCGCGCUCCACCUGCACCCGGUCACGCUCGCGGCCCAACAGCUCCAGCUCUCGCCGCAGCUCGCGCAGCUCCUGCUGGCACAGCUGGUCGGCGCGCGCCGGCUCCUGGCCCCGGGCUUGGCUCAGCUCCCCGCGCAGGGCCGCGUUCUGCUGCUCCAGAAAGCGUACCUUCUCGAUGAAGUUGGCGAAGCGGUCGUUGAGCUCCUGCAGCUCCUGCUUCUCGUUGCUGCGCGUGGCCAGGAACUCCUGGUUGAGGGCCUCGGCCAUGGAGAAGUCGAGGCGCUCCGAGGGCAGGCGCAGGAGGGCGCCCGCUCCCGCUCGGGGGCUACGGAAGCUGCCCAGGCGCACCGAGGAGCUCGGGGACGCGGAGCCCAGCAGGCGGCUGCUGGAGAAGCGGGAGCUGGACGAGUAGGAGAAGGCCCCGGGGGAUAGUGAGGGCGGUGGACCGAAGACGGCCCAGCAGAGGUUGUCUGCUGAUGUUUCAGCCUUAAAGACACAGCCCCCAAACCUAGACCUACCCCGCAACAAGCCCCAAUGAGCUUCCAGAAUGCAAGCACAACCUGCCCAGGAGUGGACAGAGGCAGCUCGGAUGGUCUGCAGGAGCCGGGUUGCUGAGGUCUGCUGGGUUUGCCAGGAACCAUAGGGCUGGGGCUGCUGCUGCUGCUGGGGACUCCAGCGCUGUCCUGUGAGACAGGUCUGCCUCAGAUGGGACCUGAGGACAAGAGAGUGCAUCUGGGGAAGCAGGUUUCAGGUUCCUGCCUGGAUAUCUGGCUGGGGGUAAGGAGGGCGGCUCCCUGGCUGGCCAGCUCCUCAGUAUUGCAGGGCAGCAGCCCCCUCCCCCCUUUGUGCGUCCUGUGAGAUGGGCCAGGGCCAACGCCCUGCUCACGUCCCUACCGCCUUCGUCUCCUUUCCAGGCCCCUCCUUCCUUCCGGGCCAUUAGUCUCUCCCUGCACAGCUGCCAGUUCCUUCUCCUUGAUGGGUCUGGUUUGGUUGCCAGGGGAGUGGGAAGCGGGAGGAAGGGAGAGAUGGGACAGGACGAAUAAAUGACAGCUUGGCCUCCCCUAACUCCUGGGAAUUGGGAGGGGUAGGGUCCCACCCGGGAUAGGGCCGGGAGGCUUGGUGGGUGUGAGGAGGGGCUAGGGAAGCCUUGGUGCUUCCUGCCGCAGUCCUGGGCACUGAGCCCCAGCUGCUGUUGGCCUGGAGCCCCAUCUAUCCCGGAUUUGGCCCCACCCUCCAGGAGCAGGGAGCCAGCUCUGCAUCAGGAGAGGCGGGCAAGGCCUGGGGAGGACCAGCUCAGGCCCUGUCUACAGGGCACUAGUGGGGGACCCAAGCCUCUGAGAGUAGAGGCUGCUGGGGCUGCAGCUGGGCCUGGGGAGUUCCAGAUGGAGUUCCCGUCCUCACCCUGCUUAAGGGCUCCGCUGGCCACCUACAUGCCUCGGAGGAGAAGGGACAGAGGGCUGCCACAGCAGGGCUCUGGAGCUGUGGAUCAGGCCUGGGUGGGGAACUGCCAGGCAGAAGAGGCUCCUCCCCUAAAGCAGAAGGAGCAGGCCAGCAACUCCAGGCGGAGCAAAGGUAGGCAAAGAGUCUGGGUUAAGAGCCGGGCUCUGGCAUCCAGCUGCCACACUUCCCAUCUGAUCCACCACUCUGUUGUAGAAUUUAGGCUCGUCACUACGUCCCUUCAUGUCCCUCAAGAAAAGGGAGAUAACUAACUGUAGCUUCUACCUCAUAGUGUUGUUGGGAGGACUAAAGGAAUAAAUAAAUACAUGUGAAGUGCUUAGGACACACAUCUUAAAGCCUGAAAAUGG
ensembl:lncRNA TROAP-AS1 TROAP and PRPH antisense RNA 1